AUUUUUUUUUUCACAACCCCAAGCACAAGUCCCAUGUCUCUCCACUCUGAUACUUCGUGUGUCAGGUCCUUAGUUGACAUUCAAUGGAAAGCCUGUGGUGACUAGUGUGCUCUGAUCAUUUUAAAAGUACCAUGUCCCCUGUCCCCGUGUGACAGAUGUUAGCAAUUGGUCUGCAGGUCCUGUUGACAUUAAUAUCCUCUCUGUGUCUGUCUGUCUGUCUGUCUAUCUGUCUCUCUGCUUUGUCUAAGGCUUCAAUGGAUAAUCCUAUAUAAUUAUUGUCCUUUCUUUCUCUGUUACGGUUGUUUUUAAAGAAAGUAUCCUAAGUUAAUAGAAACCAAAAAGUGGUAAUGGGCAGAAAGAGAUAGCCACAGAGGGACACACCUUAAGGCAUUAUAAGUGACCUUAUUUCUGCUUAUCUGAGCUAAGAGUGGUGCUACUGGUAAAGUUCCUGAGACUUGUGACACAUAAAUGCUCCAAAAUGGGAAGAGCUGGGGGGUGGGGGUAAUCCCGUUGAUAAGUUUCCUGGUGAGGACCAUGAGGGACUCCAUGCUGCCUGGAAGAACACACCACCGUCCCUGUUGUAUGACAGCACAGCCAAGAGCACAAACAGGAGAGCCAGCCACUCCUUCCUUCUCCCACCAUUCUGGGUUUUUGUGCAAAAGAUUUGCAGUAUUGAACUAGAUGGUUGUUUUCCUAAGGGCAGCGUGGGCUUUAAAAGUUGAAAUUUGACAGGUAUUUGCUGGUUUUUCCCAGUCUAACAAAGAAAGAUAAAGGGUCUGGGGCCCUACCUACACACUUUAGGAGCCCCGUCCAACCUUCCCCAAAAACACAUGCUCUAAACUCACCAUGUUACAUGUUUUUUAAACCUUCCUCCUAUAAAAAAGGAAAACAAUGUAAAAUGGGCUAAGUAGAUUAUGCUAAACAUUUUCUCUCAUGCAGCUUGGUUAGGGUGGCGGGGUACAGAUCCUAAACUACCUCUUGCUGUAGCCAGGGUGAAUGGGAUUUCUUAAGCGGUACUGAGGUGCAGAGUGGGAGUGGAAAUGCCCACGUGUGACCAGUAGCCUCUGUUCCUCCUUCUUGUAAGACCUCACAUUUCCAUCUGUCACAGGGUUAUGGAAAGUGUGCUGUUGGCUCCAGAGUGUUAGGCUUUAAGGUUUGGGGAGCCAUCCCCGAGGAAGACACACACACACACACACACACACACACACACACACACACACACACAAAUGUCUUAAUUUGAGCCUGUAUCUACCCCUGCUGAUGAACAAUUAGAUGGGCUUGGGUUUUGUCAGCUCCCUCCCUCCCUCCUUCCCUCCCUUCCUCCCUUCUUUCUGUCUUUCCAUUAGUAGCAAAAGCCUGUUUUUGGCAGAACUUUAAGUGGCAAUUUCAUUCUUGAGAACGCACGGUAGAAGACCUUAUGGGUGUAUUUUCUAUGUGUUUUAAAGCUUUAUGUAUGAGAGGUAGGUAGGCAUUUCUUAAUAACAAAAAAAGAAACCCCACAGUUGAGAUUUGCCUUGGAGACUCUUGGGUUUGCCUCUAACAAGGUGCUCGAGUCACCGCCAGAGUCUUGGGGUGCUAGAGCUAGAGAAACCCUGCCCCUUCUUUAUAUUCUAGAGUCUUAGAGUGGAGAUGGAAGUGAGCUUGUUCCUUGGGAGCUCACUCUGCUCAUUUGUCUCCAGGAAGACCCCAGUGCCUUUUGACCGUGGCCAGGGCUCCCCUCCAUUCUCUCCAAAGUAAAUUGACUCCGAACACUUGCCUUCUGCCUGGAUCCUAGAAGAAUAGGACUCUGGUCCAUACUGUGGUCGUUAUAACCUAAGGUCUGUAAUGUGAUCACUUUCCAGUUUGAGAGAUGCAAUAGAGAUAAUUUUACAGUGUUGAUAAUCUACAAACCUGAGUUAACAGCUCUUUCCGUGACUGGGAGUCCGGUGUCAUUCCUGUAAUAACACCCAUUCAAUUUUGUGAGGGGCGGGCUUGGGUACUGUGUGGUUUUUGUACAAAUGUGUUUCUCAGUGU
rnacentral:lncRNA from 1 species